rnacentral:rRNA from 1 species
UUUUUAUGAGAGUUUGAUCCUGGCUCAGGACGAACGCUGGCGGCGUGCCUAAUACAUGCAAGUCGAACGCUUCUUUUUCCACCGGAGCUUGCUCCACCGGAAAAAGAGGAGUGGCGAACGGGUGAGUAA